AGCGGCAGACGGGUGAGUAACGCGUGGGAAUCUACCCAUCCCUACGGAACAACUCCGGGAAACUGGAGCUAAUACCGUAUACGCCCUACGGGGGAAAGAUUUAUCGGGGAUGGAUGAGCCCGCGUUGGAUUAGCUAGUUGGUGGGGUAAUGGCCUACCAAGGCGACGAUCCAUAGCUGGUCUGAGAGGAUGAUCAGCCACACUGGGACUGAGACACGGCCCAGACUCCUACGGGAGGCAGCAGUGGGGAAUAUUGGACAAUGGGCGAAAGCCUGAUCCAGCCAUGCCGCGUGAGUGAUGAAGGCCCUAGGGUUGUAAAGCUCUUUCACCGGUGAAGAUAAUGACGGUAACCGGAGAAGAAGCCCCGGCUAACUUCGUGCCAGCAGCCGCGGUAAUACGAAGGGGGCUAGCGUUGUUCGGAAUUACUGGGCGUAAAGCGUGCGUAGGCGGACUUUUAAGUCAGGUGUGAAAUCCCGGGGCUCAACCUCGGAACUGCAUUUGAAACUGGAAGUCUUGAGACCAGGAGAGGUUAGCGGAAUACCGAGUGUAGAGGUGAAAUUCGUAGAUAUUCGGUGGAACACCAGUGGCGAAGGCGGCUAACUGGACUGGUACUGACGCUGAGGUGCGAAAGUGUGGGGAGCAAACAGGAUUAGAUACCCUGGUAGUCCACACCGUAAACGAUGAGAGCUAGUUGUU
rnacentral:rRNA from 1 species